rnacentral:rRNA from 1 species
CCCUUAGAUGUUCUGGGCCGCACGCGUGCUACACUGAGUGGAUCAGCGGGUCAGGUUGCGCGAAAGUGUUUCCUAAUCUUUAAAUCCGCUCGUGAUGGGGAUUGACGGUUGCAAUUUUCCGUCAUGAACGAGGAAUACCUUGUAAGCGCGGGUCAUCAUCCCGCGCUGAAUACGUCCCUGCCCUUUGUACACACCGCCCGUCGCUCCUACCGAUUGAGUGGUCCGGUGAGGCUUUGGGAUCUGAGCGGAAAGAACGUUUCGCUGUUUCUGCCCGGAAAACUCAGUCGAACCUUAUCAUUUAGAGGAAGGAGAAGUCGUAACA